GAUGAACGCUGACAGAAUGCUUAACACAUGCAAGUCUUUGGCGAAGCUGUGCUUGCACCGCCUAGCCAAGGCGGACGGGUGAGUAACGCGUAAGGAACUUGCCCUGCAGUCAGGGAUAACAGACGGAAACGACUGAUAAGACCUGGUAAAGUCAGGCGGACUCAUGUCCAGCCUGAUGAAAAGUGAUGCUGCAGGAGAGCCUUGCGUCCUAUUAGCUUGUUGGUGGGGUAACGGCCCACCAAGGCGAUGAUAGGUAGCCGGCCUGAGAGGGUGGACGGCCACAAGGGGACUGAGAUACGGCCCUUACUCCUACGGGAGGCAGCAGUGGGGAAUAUUGGACAAGGGGGGCAACCCUGAUCCAGCAAUUCUGUGUGCACGAUGAAGGUUUUCGGAUUGUAAAGUGCUUUCAGCAGGGAAGAAAAAAAUGACGGUACCUGCAGAAGAAGCGACGGCUAAAUACGUG
rnacentral:rRNA from 1 species